rnacentral:rRNA from 1 species
UACGUAGGGUGCAGGCGUUAAUCGGAAUUACUGGGCGUAAAGCGUGCGCAGGCGGUUUGCUAAGACCGGGGUGAAAUCCCCGGGCUUAACCUGGGAACUGCGCUUGUAACUGGCAAGCUUGAGUGUGGCAGAGGGGGGUGGAAUUCCACGUGUAGCAGUGAAAUGCGUAGAGAUGUGGAGGAACACCGAUGGCGAAGGCAGCCCCCUGGGCUAACACUGACGCUCAUGCACGAAAGCGUGGGGAGCAAACAGG